rnacentral:rRNA from 1 species
CUGUUCGCCCAUUAAAGCGGUACGCGAGCUGGGUUCAGAACGUCGUGAGACAGUUCGGUCCCUAUCCGUCGCGGGCGUAGGAAAUUUGAGAGGAGCUGUCCUUAGUACGAGAGGACCGGGAUGGACGCACCGCUGGUGUACCAGUUGUUCCGCCAGGAGCACAGCUGGGUAGCUAUGUGCGGAAGGGAUAAGCGCUGAAAGCAUCUAAGCGUGAAGCCCCCCUCAAGAUGAGAUUUCCCAUCGCGUCAAGCGAGUAAGAUCCCUUGAAGAUGACAAGGUAGAUAGGUCCGAGGUGGAAGCGUGGCGACACGUGCAGCUGACGGAUACUAAUCGAUCGAGGACUUAAC